GACGAACGCUGGCGGCGUGCCUAAUACAUGCAAGUUGAGCGCUGAAGGUUGGUACUUGUACCAACUGGAUGAGCAGCGAACGGGUGAGUAACGCGUGGGGAAUCUGCCUUUGAGCGGGGGGCAACAUUUGGAAACGAAUGCUAAUACCGCAUAAAAACUUUAAACACAAGUUUUAAGUUUGAAAGAUGCAAUUGCAUCACUCAAAGAUGAUCCCGCGUUGUAUUAGCUAGUUGGUGAGGUAAAGGCUCACCAAGGCGAUGAUACAUAGCCGACCUGAGAGGGUGGUCGGCCACAUUGGGACUGAGACACGGCCCAAACUCCUACGGGAGGCAGCAGUAGGGAAUCUUCGGCAAUGGACGAAAGUCUGACCGAGCAACGCCGCGUGAGUGAAGAAGGUUUUCGGAUCGUAAAACUCUGUUGGUAGAGAAGAACGUUGGUGAGAGUGGAAAGCUCAUCAAGUGACGGUAACUACCCAGAAAGGGACGGCUAACUACGUG
rnacentral:rRNA from 1 species